rnacentral:misc_RNA from 1 species
CUGAGUGCGGGCCCUCCGGGUCCAACCUCCCACCCGUGUCUAUCGUACCUUGUUGCUUCGGCGGGCCCGCCUGCUGGCCGCCGGGGGGCCUCCGCCCCCGGGCCCGCGCCCGCCGAAGACACCGCCGAACUCUGUCUGAAGAUUGUGGUCUGAGCGAUUUACGAAAUUAGUUA